CAAAAUAUCACCGGGUUCAUUCAUACUGUACACAGAGAGGCAUCUUACUGCCAUCCACAGUCAGAAACCAAGGCUGCAGGAAAAUGAAGAAAAGGAUCAUCAUUUUUUCCUGGAAAGAUGCCUGUGUCCUUCAGGAGGGGACCCACACAGCAAAUUAUCACACAGCAGAAUGUUAUUUUAAAUGAGAACAAUUUAAUAAACAGAAUACUUGGAAAUCA